AGAAUCCAACGAAUUUUGGAACAAAAACUAACUGAGGCAUCCAAGCUACUGAGGCAUCCAAGCUACUGCUUUUGCUGCUGAUCAUCUCCAUGCCAGGCCCAAACUAUGUCCUUCAGUGCUGGCCGGAUGUCUUCUUCAAAUAAUUUCUGAUACUCAAGAAAAUCACCGCUUGUUUGUUUCAUCUCAACAAGAUGAUGAAGUGGUGUGAUCUCAAAGAUCUCUGUGUCAAACUGAAGGACACCAUUCCUUCCCUCCUUCCUCCCUUGAAUCUUGACAACACCAUUAUCCUUCUUCCUUACCCUGAGAUUCAACAUCUUUGCGACGUCUUCAAUCUUCAAGAUGAUGGCCGAGGCUGACUUGUCUGAAGUAAAUCUUGCCUCCUUUCUGCACUCCUUUUCAAGAAAGAGGCCAGAUAGAUCAAACCCUGAGGAGAAAGAGAUAAUUUCAAAGGCAUUUAAGUUUGUCACAGUCAGCGGUUUUGCAUCUUCAUAAGGAUUCUUUUUGCGCCUCACAGAAAGUGUUGGAGCAGCAUUUGUGGUGGCAUUCUCACAGGGAAUUUUCUCCUUAACUGUGCGGGUCCCCUCGGGACCUUUUCUGAACCAGGUAGACUCUUUUAUUUUCUGGAUUGAAAUUCUUGUGGCUGGGUUGGGGUCCAGGAUCUUGUACAACAGCUUCUUGAGUUUGUGUGAAAACCAACUGGGGCACCUGAAAUCACCAUGCUGUACCUUUCGAUACAUCUCCAUCAAGUUUGGGCCUUGGAAAGGGAGAUAACCAGCAACAAGAACAAAUAGAACAACACCGCAAGACCAGAUGUCUGAUUUUGCACCAUCAUAGCCUAUCUUGCUGAUCACCUCUGGAGCUACAUAUGCUGGUGUUCCACAGGUGGUAUGGAGCAAUCCAUCUUGCCUUUUCGACUCCGAAAGUGCGCUCAGUCCAAAAUCAGAUACCUUCAGGUUCUCAUCCUCAUCCAGCAGCAGGUUCUCAGGCUUCAGGUCCCGGUGGUACACGCCUCGGCUGUGGCAGUAAUCCACUGCACUAAUAAGCUGCUGGAAGUACUUGUGUGCAGCAGGCUCCGUGAGCUUGCCACUCUUCUCAAUCUUUUCAAAGAGCUCGCCACCUUUCACAUACUCCAUGACAAAGUAGAUCUUGUUCCGUGUUGCCAUGACCUCAUGAAGUUCAACAAUGUUCUUAUGUGCCACCAAUCUCAUUGUUGUGAUCUCACGCCUUAUCUGCUCUGAAAGCCCAACCUUGAGCACUUUGUCCUUAUCCAUCAUCUUAAUAGCAACGCUCUGAUUUGACUCAAGGUUCUUUGCAUAGUGCACCUUGCCAAAUGUUCCUUUCCCCAACAUUCUCCCCAGCUCAUACCGCUCCAUUAAAAUCUUUCCUCUGCCCUCCAUGUCUCCAAAAGUAUAAAACACACGGCUAUCCUCUGGCCGGCCGAUUAGGUGGACUGCAAUGAUUUAGCCCUCCUCCCCCAUGUCAUGGUCCAUGAUGGUGAACAGUACUCUUAUGGCUUGGUCGUGUCGGAGUCUGAAGGGUGUAGGAUUGAUGCAGCUGAGGUGGUCGCUCACAUCAAGAGUUGAGCAGGCUAGCAG
rnacentral:lncRNA from 1 species